UCCAUGAAGCUGGAUUCGCUAGUAAUCGCGCAUCAGCCACGGCGCGGUGAAUACGUUCCCGGGCCUUGUACACACCGCCCGUCACACCAUGGGAGCCGGUAAUACCCGAAGUCAGUAGCCUAACCGCAAGGGGGGCGCUGCCGAAGGUAGGAUUGGCGACUGGGGUGAAGUCGUAACAAGGUAAC
rnacentral:rRNA from 1 species